UACGUAGGGUGCGAGCGUUGUCCGGAAUUAUUGGGCGUAAAGGGCUCGUAGGCGGUUUGUUGCGUCGGGUGUGAAAACACCGGGCUUAACUCGGUGCUUGCUUUCGAUACGGGCAGACUAGAGGCAUGCAGGGGAGAACGGAAUUCCUGGUGUAGCGGUGAAAUGCGCAGAUAUCAGGAGGAACACCAGUGGCGAAGGCGGAUCUCUGGGCCUUACCUGACGCUCAGGUGCGAAAGCUAGGGGAGCGAACAGG
rnacentral:rRNA from 1 species